ensembl:antisense Gm29128 predicted gene 29128
CUAUUAUUUUCAGAAAGCUGAAGUGAAUAGAGUCCUCAUUUGAUGCUCACCCCAAGCUCGGCAGUAAUUCAGCUUCUGAGAAGUUUUCCUCACUGCAAGUUAUACUGCUCCUUGCUGGUCGCCUUUGUCCUUCCUAUGGGUCUGUGUACUACUUUCAUUAAACAUCUUUACAGGUAAAUGUUUUUAUAGAGUGGGGCAUCUGUUUAUUAUGGGACCUUGACCAAUAAAAUCUUAGAUCAGCCGUGUGGUUUGAGUUUCCCCAUCGCUGGGUAAGGGGAUAGCUUGGGUAGCCCCCCCCCCUUCCUCAGAGGAAUAGGGACAUAUAGGGGAAGGAGUAGUAAGGGUGGGCCAGGAGGAAGGUGGGCUGCCAUCAGGAUGAAAAGUGAAUAAAUUAAUUAAUGAAAAAAGCUUCCCCAUCACCUUUGACUACAGGAUUUUUAUUGAGGUAAGGUCUUGCUUUGUAGCUCAGGUUGGCCGUGAAUUUACAAUUCUUCUGCCUCAGCCUGGUGAUUCUGGGAUUACAGGUAUCUUGGUGUGUGAGUUGUCACAACUUCUCUAGAACUGAUCAGGACUUAAAGACAAGAUAAAAGACUUGCUUUUAUCGCCUGUGGCUGAUAUUUCAGAUUAUGAUAUUUAUUCCUUCUGAAACUUCCAACCUGGGUUUAGGCAACAGAAAGAUAGAUUGGCUUUUGCUAUUUCAUGUUCCUCUAAAGUCAUCUGCUCUUAUGUGUCUGACUCGAGAACUGGUUGGCCCUACUUAAUAGCUGGAGAACACAAGAAGCCAUUCUUCCGGUGCAUGAUCAGCACAUUUAUUACUUAUGAGAGGUUUGUACAAACAUACAAUUAUAGUAACAUAUUUAUACAUCACUGGUAUUUUAACAGUGGGAUUUAAAAAAAAAAGCUAUUAAUACUGAAUCUGUGCCUUAAUGCACAGUUUUGAUUUUUGGAGUGUUACAGUUUAAUGCAUUCUCCAUGUGAGUGACCCAGAACAUGAUGCAUUUUCUGAAAGGUUAGUUAGGAGUAUCUCUGCAUUUCCAUCACAGCACUGGAAAAUUUUAUUUAAACAGCAGUUGUGAAUAUGUCCAAAGUUGCGUACCUGUCUGAUCUUACACUAGGUUAGAGGAGUGUCUUUGACCUGUUCUCUUGCAUCAAUUUUGUUCACUUUUGGUAGUGCUGCUCUGUAUCCAUUCCCUCUGUCUUUAAUACAGUCUUGGAAUCCUGAACAAGUUUAUAGCAUGUAAGAAAAUAUUUUCUCUUAGUGGUCCAUCUGGCUAGUAGAACUGAAGCCCAAGGGCCAUGUUCUUGCCAAACAAGUUUUCUUGUUUUCUAGGCUUGAAGCCAAGGCUCUUAGUAAAAAUUGAAUGUUUCUGUCAUUUAAUUGUUAGAUUUGACUUGAUUCACUGAACUACUAGUCAGUAUCUUCCAUUUUUCAGAUGCUCUUUAAGAUGCUGGAUUUUAAAAGAUGAAUAUGAAUAGAACAUCAGGUCAUUUGGGCGUAUGACAAGGAGUGGCGUAUGACAAGGAGUGGCCUGGCUAGAUGAUGUGUGUGGUGAUUUGAAUAUAUUUGAUCCACAGGAAGAGCCAAUAUUAGGAGGUUUGGCCUUGUUGGAGUAGGUGUGGCCUUGUUGGGGAAGUUCAUCACUGUGGGAUGGGCUUUGAGGUCCUAUGCUCAAGCUCUACCCAGUGCAGAAGAAAGCCUGCCCCUGACUGCCUGCAGAAGGCAAGCCUCCUCCUGGCUGCCUUCAGAUCAGGAUAUAGAACUCUCACCUCCUCAGCAUCAAGUCUGCCUGCACUGUGCCGUUCUUCCCACCAUGAGGAUAAUGGACUGAACAUCUGAAACUAUAAGCCAGCCCCAAUAAAGUAUUUUCCUUUCUGGGAGUUGCCUUGGUCACAAUGUCUCUCAUAGCAGUGAAACUCUAAGACAAUAUGGCAUAUCUACAUUUACCUAUUUAAUAAUUCUCCACACUGAUUUUCAUAGUGGUUGUAGCAGUUUGCAAUUCCACCAACACUGGAUGAGGAUUUUAUUUCCCACAUCCUCCCAUGCAUUUGUUGUCAGCUGGCUUUUUUUUUUUUUAAAUUUUAGCCAGUCUGACAGAGGUAAAAGAAGUUCCUAAUAUCUCAAGAAUGUUGAAUCCCCCCUUAACAUAUUUCUUAGCUGUUGUUAUUUCUUACAGAAUCAGUAGAAGGUCUAAAGACACGGGACCCUGACAGAGCUUCCAGAAAUGACUAAGAAAUGCUAAGCUAGCUGUUCCUAGUCCUCCAUCUAUCUAGAAGCUUCUGCCAUGAUUGUUAGCCCUGGGACCAGGUGAACUCAGACAUCUAAACUGUUGUUUAGUUCCUGUUUGUCACCUGAAGCUCACGAGCCUUUUCUUCCUUCCUGGGACAAAUAUUUCCAUUUGAAGGUAAAAGGAAAACAAACGUUGAUGACUACUUCAGCAGCUGCAAAGAAAAGAAUUAUUGUUUCCUUCCUUCUUUGGCUCCCUCGAGUUCUCAGGAGGUGCCGAAGAAAAAUCAGCACCAGAUGGCUCUCAAAGAGAUGAUGCUCAAAUUUUAAAUUUAUGGCCCAUUUCUGGAAGACAAUCUGAAGGUGGCCCAAGUUUCAAAUCACUUCCAGACCAGACUCACAGGAGAAUGCCUCUUGCUUUGGCUUACAAAGCUGGUCUCACGGUUCUCCGGUUUGCUAGUGCUGUUUGAUUGCAGCACAGGGAGACUGUGACGGGAACUGCCACAAUGGGGACCCACCUUAGCUCCUAUGUAAACAUUGCCAAGUCACUUUGGAAACAUUCUCUUCGUGUAUGUUAGUGGCAACAGAGAGCAGCUUCUGUAUGUGGCAACCUUGGUUUAACUUAGUCUAUCAGCAGACUAGUAAGCAAC